CAGUAGCCGCGGGAAUACGUAGGGUCCGAGCGUUGUCCGGAAUUAUUGGGCGUAAAGGGCUCGUAGGCGGUUUGUUGCGUCGGGAGUGAAAACACCAGGCUUAACUUGGUGCUUGCUUUCGAUACGGGCAGACUUGAGGCAUGCAGGGGAGAACGGAAUUCCUGGUGUAGCGGUGAAAUGCGCAGAUAUCAGGAGGAACACCGGUGGCGAAGGCGGUUCUCUGGGCAUGUUCUGACGCUGAGGAGCGAAAGUGUGGGGAGCGAACAGGAUUAGAUACCCCUGUAGUCCCUGUCUCUUAUAC
rnacentral:rRNA from 1 species